rnacentral:piRNA from 1 species
UUGUGCUGACUGAGUUAUACG